CUUUAGAAAUAUAUUAAAUGUACCAGUGAUCGGUUGUAUGAACACCCAUCCACCAACAUGCUAGCAGUGCUAAUUUACAUUAAAUUAUAAAAAGACUGACAUUGUUAGGGCCACGCAGCAGGAACCGGCGACCAUCGCACCACUUUGUAAAGAUGAGCAUGUCAGGUGGGACUAGGACAGUCAAAACUGGGGAUGACGAGACAACACUGCUAUUCUUAGCUCUUUUGUUCAGUGUUGAGAGAAGAGUUGGGACCCUGCUAUCACCUCCACUACCACCCUGUAACCAGGCCACGAACGCCAGACUGCCAGCCACCAAAGUAGUUCUCAUUAUUACGAGAUGUGGAAGAUCAAACGUAAGUGGCCCCACCAUUUUGUGGCAUGCAUGCUCUUUCACAUUCAGUCAAAACGAAAAUAACAAAAUGACUGCAUAUGGCAAGUCGUUUUUCCCUACACACACAGGCUACAGUUCAGUAUGGCUGAGAGACAUUCCCAGCCAGGCAACUAAUAGAACUUGGUAGAACUCACACCUUAAAUUCCUUUGCGUUACGAUGUUGAUUAGAGAUUAACAAUAUAAAAUGCCACUGUACUGCAUUCCUGAUGUAAAACUUCUCUUACAGCCCCCAUCACGUACGCCUUGGAAGCAAAGUACAGGCCCUAUCUUGAGCUCUGGACCAAUUGGCAGAGGAGUUGCCAGGGAAGCUGUACUCAAGGGCCGAACUGUCACAUGAAAAAGAAGACAAGGGAGUGACCGUGGGAGACCCUUCCCUUUCCCAAUGGGGUGGCCCGUGACUGGCCUGACUCCAGAGCUGUAUGGUCAGUGCUGCUCUUUAAGUGCCUGCCAGUGUUCCCUUCUUUACAACCUAAACAAUUUAUUGUGUGUGUUGUGUUUGCCUUUUUAUGCAGAAAGAUUAUUUGUGCAAUGAAAAAUAUCAAUAUAUAAUUUAUUAUUAUGUUCCAGAUGUUAGUGUGGUAAUAAAAACUGCUCUAGGGUC